ACUGGAAACGGUACCUAAUACCGCAUAACGUCGCAAGAACCAAAGAGGGGGACCUUUCGGGCCUCUUGCCAUCAGAUGUGCCCAGAUGGGAUUAGCUAGUAGGUGGGGUAACGGCUCACCUAGGCGACGAUCCCUAGCUGGUCUGAGAGGAUGACCAGCCACACUGGAACUGAGACACGGUCCAGACUCCUACGGGAGGCAGCAGUGGGGAAUAUUGCACAAUGGGCGCAAGCCUGAUGCAGCCAUGCCGCGUGUAUGAAGAAGGCCUUCGGGUUGUAAAGUACUUUCAGCGGGGAGGAAGGCGUUGAGGUUAAUAACCUCAGCGAUUGACGUUACCCGCAGAAGAAGCACCGGCUAACUCCGUGCCAGCAGCCGCGGUAAUACGGAGGGUGCAAGCGUUAAUCGGAAUUACUGGGCGUAAAGCGCACGCAGGCGGUCUGUCAAGUCGGAUGUGAAAUCCCCGGGCUCAACCUGGGAACUGCAUUCGAAACUGGCAGGCUAGAGUCUUGUAGAGGGGGGUAGAAUUCCAGGUGUAGCGGUGAAAUGCGUAGAGAUCUGGAGGAAUACCGGUGGCGAAGGCGGCCCCCUGGACAAAGACUGACGCUCAGGUGCGAAAGCGUGGGGAGCAAACAGGAUUAGAUACCCUGGUAGUCCACGCCGUAAACGAUGUCGACUUGGAGGUUGUGCCCUUGAGGCGUGGCUUCCGGAGCUAACGCGUUAAGUCGACCGCCUGGGGAGUACGGCCGCANAGGUUAAAACUCAAAUGAAUUGACGGGGGCCCGCACAAGCGGUGGAGCAUGUGGUUUAAUUCGAUGCAACGCGAAGAACCUUACCUACUCUUGACAUCCAGAGAACUUUCCAGAGAUGGAUUGGUGCCUUCGGGAACUCUGAGACAGGUGCUGCAUGGCUGUCGUCAGCUCGUGUUGUGAAAUGUUGGGUUAAGUCCCGCAACGAGCGUAACCCUUAUCCUUUGUUGCCAGCGGUUAGGCCGGGAACUCAAAGGAGACUGCCAGUGAUAAACUGGAGGAAGGUGGGGG
rnacentral:rRNA from 1 species